rnacentral:miRNA from 1 species
UCUGAGGGCGAAGUCGUACUU